GAUGAACGCUGGCGGCGUGCCUAACACAUGCAAGUCGAGCGAUCUUCUUCGGAAGAGAGCGGCGGACGGGUGAGUAACGCGUGGGUAACCUGCCCUGUACACACGGAUAACAUACCGAAAGGUAUGCUAAUACGAGAUAAUAUGCUUUUAUCGCAUGGUAGAAGUAUCAAAGCUCCGGCGGUACAGGAUGGACCCGCGUCUGAUUAGCUAGUUGGUAAGGUAACGGCUUACCAAGGCGACGAUCAGUAGCCGACCUGAGAGGGUGAUCGGCCACAUUGGAACUGAGACACGGUCCAAACUCCUACGGGAGGCAGCAGUGGGGAAUAUUGCACAAUGGGCGAAAGCCUGAUGCAGCAACGCCGCGUGAGCGAUGAAGGCCUUCGGGUCGUAAAGCUCUGUCCUCAAGGAAGAUAAUGACGGUACUUGAGGAGGAAGCCCUGGCUAACUACGUGCCAGCCGCCGCUGAA
rnacentral:rRNA from 1 species